rnacentral:lncRNA from 1 species
UUUGGAGGGUUCUUCAAUGAGUCAUGCUGCUCAUGAGCAUCCAAAUGCCAGCAACUGAAUAGGUCUUGCUUAUGCAGUUUUUUGGUGUUGCAAACUCUAUAGCUACAUACUCAUCUGUGACAAUAGUUGACAUGUUGAGUCAUGUUUUUUGGCUUAGCGAACUCUUGCCAUUUACUGAUUUGUUAUGGAUGUAAUGGGGUUGUUUUUUGGUGUAGCUACAACAUUGGC